rnacentral:tRNA from 1 species
GGGAGUGUAGCUCAGUGGUGGAGCGCUUACCUGGCAUGCAUGAGGCCCUAGGUUCAAUCCCCAGCACCA